rnacentral:tRNA from 2 species
UGCUCCCGUAGCUCAGUUGGAUAGAGCGAGCGCCUCCUAAGCGCUAGGUCGCAGGUUCGAUUCCUGCCGGGAGCAU